AGCCGUAGGUUGAUAUUUAUAGGUUCAUUUUUCGUAUCAAAGGAGACGCUUUUAAAGGGUAGCCUAUUUGUUAAGUUUAGGGUGCAUUUUAAAAGUGAUGCCUAAUGUAUCUAGAGCCAAAAACUUAACACUUAGUAAAUUUUUUUCCUCUUUUUCCUGAAAGCAAACUGAUGACAUUUAGUAAAAUUUUUGUCCAUUCCCUCCAAAUCUCACUCACCUCCAAAGCACCUUCAUCCACUUUCGUAAACCCUCGUCGCCCCCCAUUCCUUCUAAAGUCACCAUCGCAAAGUAGAAACCUUGCCUGCCUCCAAAGCUCACAUUCGCCACGCACCCUUUCACACACACACACACACACACCCAGAUUCAGAAUGAGUGAACCAGAGGGAGGAGAGGAGGAAGACAGAGAUAAGAGCGCGAGCGAGAGACCAGAGAGUGAGAGUGGGUCACUGCCGCUGCAGCCGCUGCCAUCGCCGUCGUGGAGGAGGGAGUCCGGAGGAGAGAGAGAGAAAGAUGAUUCGCAGACGAGAUGGAGAGAGAGGACGAAGACGCGACGCGAGAGAGAAGGAGGUUGUUCUGCCGUGCACUGUCGUCGCUCCUGGGGUCAAUUGAAGCCGCCGCCGUUGCUAGGGCUUGCCGUGCUCCUGUCCUCACUUUCGGCUUCUACGAUUACUUCCUGUGUUUCAUCGAUGCCGUUUUCGACGCCAAGGGAAAAUGAGAUAUAAAUUCAAAAUAUGUAUGAUGAAGUUCUAUGAAGGGUUAAUGCAGAUAAUUAACUGAAGUGCUGAAGCCAAUUUAUAUCCUGGUGCAAUAACUUCGACACUUCAAAUUACAGAGACAGUUGGAUACUUACUUUCUCCUUGCUCACAUGUGCUCUGUCAAGCUUAAAGAAUGGACGCUUGUCCUGUUUACUUCUAUUAAGAAGUUCUAAGGUAUGCUUGGAUUCAUUGACAUGAUUGCAACAGCAACGAUGUUAAAAUAAAUGGUAAAAAUGUAAUAGAUGAUGAAAAAUAGAAUCCUUAAUCAUUUUGUUAUAUAUAUAAUAUGAGGUGACAAAAGCAAUAACACUGACAUGAUAUAAUUAUGUUAACUAUGUCGAACUGGUACAAGGCUAGCCAAAUGGCAUUGCUAUUAGACUCCUAACAUGAGAAUAUUUCCA